UUGGAGGGCAAGUCUGGUGCCAGCAGCCGCGGUAAUUCCAGCUCCAAUAGCGUAUAUUAAAGUUGUUGCAGUUAAAAAGCUCGUAGUUGAAUUUCGGGGUUAGUAGGUUGGUCAUGCCUCUGGUAUGUACUGGUCUCACUGACUCCUCCUUCCUUAUGAACCGUAAUGCCAUUAAUUUGGUGUUGCGGGGAAUUUGGACUGUUACUUUGAAAAAAUUAGAGUGUUUAAAGCAAGCUAACGCUUGAAUACAUUAGCAUGGAAUAAUGAAAUAGGACG
rnacentral:rRNA from 1 species